AUGCAAGUCUCAAAACGUAAAAGUCUCUGUAAAAUUUGUGGUAACCCGGCGUUUGGCAAUCAUUUUGGAGUGCUCAGCUGCAGAGCAUGUGCUGCAUUUUUCAGAAGAACAAAUGUAGAUGGAGAAACAUUUUGUCCAAUUGGCAAUUGUAAAAUCGAUAAACACGGGAAAUUCUACUGCAAAAAAUGUCGAUUGAGAAUUUGUCUGGAAGCUGGUAUGGAUGCGAACAAAUUUCAACACGACCGCGACCUAAUCUCCACUUCCACAUCGGAAAGCUCCGACUCAUCGGGAUCUUUUUCAUUUUCCCAAAGGAGCAAGGUACCCAAAAGCAUGGCAAAUUUCCUGGGCCGGCCCGCAUUUAUUUUAAGCUGUGAGCCUGAUAAAGCGAGCAAGGUGAAGACAAUAGUUGAUGUCACGUUUUUGAUAAAUCAAGCUUUUGACAUUUUUGGUAAUGUUGACAGAAAACGAUUUUCAUCAAAUAGCAAUUUGGGAAGAAUGACAAAAAAAUUUGAGGAUUUGCAAAAUGAAAAAUCUUCAAAUUUGAGCACAAUCAAGGUGUUGGGCUUGAAAGAAUCUAUGAUCUUCUGGGAGCAAGAUUUUCUGCGAACUGCUAGGUGGCUGAGCCAUUUCGAUGAGUUUCAGGAGCUCCCGUUGAGCAUCAGGAUGCAAAUCUUAAAGGUGGCAUGGAUCCUUUGGGGAAGACUGGACAAACUUGUGAAAACUGCAAAUGAGCGGAAAAAUCAACAGCUUAAUCAAAAUUUCUAUAUGAUUGGCAAGGAUGUGGGAAUAGAUAUUGGAAACUUCGAAGUAGAUGUUUCCUGGUGCACGAAUUAUAGCAAGGAGCAACUGGCCUAGUGACUACCUCGACUGCCACCACGACGAACCAUUCAACAUAAUCGUCGACGCAAUCUCCGACCUGAAGCCCAGUGACAUGGAAUUGAACUUUAUGCUCCUGGAGCUCUGCCUGGCACAUGCUGGAAAGCAGCAUCAGGGGGAUGUCUUGAUGUUCACUGAUCGGCUUCUAGAAGUUGUAUCCAAUGAGCUUCACGACUAUUAUCAAUCGGAACAAAUAUCUAACUACUCAUCUAGAAUCACAAAAAUGAUGAAAAUCAACAAUUUGAUUAGGAGAAACUUGUUCGAACGGCUGGAACGACAGGCGGUGGCGAAAGUUUUCAAUAUAAUUUCUGUACAUUUUUCACAUCCUGAUAUGUUUUGUAAUGCUGGGUUUUAA
rnacentral:misc_RNA from 1 species